GAGAAAAUAGUUUAAUAAAAAUAUCUUAUUUACGAUAAGAAGAAUCUGAAAUGAUUUUCUUC
rnacentral:tRNA from 1 species